rnacentral:rRNA from 1 species
UAGCAAGGUUAACCGAAUAGGGGAGCCGGAGGGAAACCGAGUCUUAAUUGGGCGUUAAGUUGCAGGGUAUAGACCCGAAACCCGGUGAUCUAGCCAUGGGCAGGUUGAAGGUUGGGUAACACUAACUGGAGGACCGAACCGACUAAUGUUGAAAAAUUAGCGGAUGACCUGUGGCUGGGGGUGAAAGGCCAAUCAAACCGGGAGAUAGCUGGUUCUCCCCGAAAGCUAUUUAGGUAGCGCCUCGUGAAUUCAUCUCCGGGGGUAGAGCACUGUUUCGGCUAGGGGGCCAUCCCGGCUUACCAACCCGAUGCAAACUGCGAAUACCGGAGAAUGUUAUCACGGGAGACACACGGCGGGUGCUAACGUCCGUCGUGAAGAGGGAAACAACCCAGACCGCCAGCUAAGGUCCCAAAGUCAUGGUUAAGUGGGAAACGAUGUGGGAAGGCCCAGACAGCCAGGAUGUUGGCUUAGAAGCAGCCAUCAUUUAAAGAAAGCGUAAUAGCUCACUGGUCGAGUCGGCCUGCGCGGAAGAUGUAACGGGGCUAAACCAUGCACCGAAGCUGCGGCAGCGAACGUAUCACCCAAGACAACUUUACGGAGUUGACGAUUGACGGAGCGAAGCGACGUCAAAGCGUUCAUUAAAGUCGAGUUGGCUUAGGGAUACGUUCGUUGGGUAGGGGAGCGUUCUGUAAGCCUGUGAAGGUGUGUCGUGAGG